rnacentral:rRNA from 1 species
GGUUGACCUCGGAUCAGGUAGGAAUACCCGCUGAACUUAAGCAUAUCAAUAAGCGGAGGAAAAGAAACCAACAGGGAUUGCCCCAGUAACGGCGAGUGAAGCGGCAAGAGCUCAAAUUUGAAAUCUGGCCUCCCCUGGGGGCCCGAGUUGUAAUUUGCAGAGGAUGCUUCGGGUGCGGCCGCCGUCUAAGUUCCUUGGAACAGGACGUCAGAGAGGGUGAGAAUCCCGUCUUGGGCGGGCGGUCCGCGCCCGUGUGAAGCUCCUUCGACGAGUCGAGUG